GAUGAACGCUAGCUACAGUGCUUAACACAUGCAAGUCGAGGGGCAGCGAGAAGAAAGCUUGCUUUCUUUGUCGGCGACCGGCGCACGGGUGAGUAACGCGUAUCCAACCUUCCCCUUAGUAGAGGAUAGCCCGGCGAAAGUCGGAUUAAUACUCUAUGUUAUUCGUUGAGGACAUCUGAAAUGAAUCAAAGGUUUACCGCUAAGGGAUGGGGAUGCGUCUGAUUAGGUUGUUGGCGGGGUAACGGCCCACCAAGCCCACGAUCAGUAGGGGUUCUGAGAGGAAGGUCCCCCACAUUGGAACUGAGACACGGUCCAAACUCCUACGGGAGGCAUCUGUGAGGAAUAUUGGUCC
rnacentral:rRNA from 1 species